rnacentral:lncRNA from 1 species
AAUUAUUAGAAAAGUUGAUUUCAUUAAUUAAGAUAGUAUCCUUUUUGAACAUUCAUUUGACCACAUUCUCCACAUAUGUAAGAUGCAGUGAGAGCAAUUUAUUAGUAUUUUUAAUUGAUAAUUUAGUUAACCAUGUAAUUGUUUAAGUAUAAAGCGCAAGUCUUUUUUUGGCUAUAGAUAGUUAAUUUCCCAAAUAUUUGAGAUCAUAACCAGUAUUUUUUUUAUACAGAGGUUGAGGAAGGAUAUGAAGACAACAUUUGAUUCCUGGAAUCCACAAUCAACUGCAAAGUCAUUGAAUUAACUCGCAUCCUAAAGCACAAGUCUUUAGUAUUAUCGGUGUGUUGAUGUGUCUGCCAC